UUGGCCGUGAACUCCCACUGGCUCUGCUCGCCGACCAGCGCGUGGCUGCCGAAGUGCUCCCCGUUGGCCAGCACCCCCAGCACCGCCUGGUCCCCGUAGGGACCGGUACCCAGCUUGUUGACCUUGCCGUGCGCGAUGAGCACGACCUCGUCGGCCGGGCGGCCCACCUCCGCGAUCACGUCACCCGCCGCGUACUCGCGCUGGGUGAACCGAUCGGCCAAGCCCUCCAGCACCGUGGUGUCGCCGAACCCGCGCAGCACCGGCAGCUCGCACAGCUCGGCGGGAAUGACCCGCACGUCGGCACCGGUGUUGGUGAACGUCACCCGUCCGUCACCGAGCUGGUAGGUCAACCGACGGUUGACCCGGUACGCCCCGCCGGAAGCCUGCACCCAGGGCAGCAGGCGCGGCAGCCACCGCGAGGUGACCGACUGCAUCUGCGGCGGCGUCUUCGUCGUCGUCGACAGGUUCCGCGCCGCCGCCGUCCCCAGGCUCAACGGCGACUGCCCGU
rnacentral:antisense_RNA from 1 species